GCACCACUUGGGGGGAGCCGCCGCGCGGCUGAGAGGUUCCGAUACGGGAACGACCCCUCGAACCUGAUCCGGGUUGUGCCGGCGUAGGAACGAGUGAUUCCAUGACA
rnacentral:ncRNA from 2 species